CCUCAGGCAUAGCCAAUCCCACUGAUGCCUUCACUGUCUUUUAUAGUGAGCGGAGUCCCUGGUGUAAGUAUGAGCUUGGAGGGAGGGCUCACUCUACAGGCGGGAGGCUAGGCCAGAAAGGGCACGGUCCUAUGCAGGGUUGCACAGCAAAGUUGAGGCCUGAGAAGGCCUUGAACCCAGGGCCUCUACCUCCCAGCUCUUUCCUAUCUGAGCUUCUCUGAGGGCAAGCCCUGAAUGGGCAGAAACCAGCUGUAUGCUACGGGCCCUGAGUGGGGACAGGACCCUGCCAGAGGAGCCUGGAAUGAGGGGGAGACCUGGGCCCACCCCAGGCUGAUUGUGUCUCCAGCCCCUCAGGCUGAAGACACUGCCUUCCCCCUACACCUCCCCAGGGGUGCGGGUUACCAGCACUGGGAGGCCAGGCCAUGCCUCACGCUUCAUGGAGGACACAGCAGCAGAGAAGCUGGUACGUGGCACCCCAGGAGGGAGUCUGGGAGUUCAGGAGGCUCUAUCCUGAGGCCACUGUCCCAUUUAACCUCAUAUUCUCAUAGCACAAGGUUGUAAACUCCAUCCUGGCAUUCCGGGAGAAGGAAUGGCAGAGGUGAGGCAGCCUGGGAGGCAGUGGGGUGGCUCUGGGAGGCGGUACCACAGAGGAUAGAGUCUGAGCCACCUCUUUUAUCUGUUGCUGCCGCUACCCUGCCCCCACACCACAGGCUGCAGUCAAACCCCCACCUGAAAGAGGGGUCCGUGACCUCCGUGAACCUGACUAAGCUAGAGGGUGGCGUGGCCUAUAACGUGAUACCUGCCACCAUGAGCGCCAGCUUUGACUUCCGUGUGGCACCGGAUGUGGACUUCAAGGUGCCACCUCCACCUGGGUUUGGAGGAGGGAUCCUGGGUCCUCAGUCUUGUCCUAGAGGCCUCUGGAAAGCCUGAAGGAUCAGCUCGUCUCCCUUCUCUUAGGCUUUUGAGGAGCAGCUGCAGAGCUGGUGCCAGGCAGCUGGCGAGGGGGUCACCCUAGAGUUUGCUCAGGUAUGGACUUGGGACAUGUGAUGGGAGAGUGUGGGAGCCGGGGGAGACCCAAGUGUGCAACAGUGGAGUGUGUGCUUGGUGUGUCUGCAUAUGUCUGGGCAUUUCUUUAUCUGUGACAGACACAUUUUAUUCCAACAAGCAUUCAUUGUAGAGGCCACUGUGGGUGCUGGGGAAUGCUGUGGGGAGUAAAAUUAGGCACAGUUCAUGCCCUUGUAUGGUGAAACGGGGAGAUAUAAAUCAAACAUUUAUGUGAUAUUACUUUUUUCUGAGAGAAUCUCACUCCGUCACCCAGGCUGCAGUGCAGUGGCACAAUCUCGGCUCACCUCCGCCUCCCGGGUUCAAGCAAUUCUUGUGCCUCAGCCUCCAGAGUAGUUGGGAUUACAGGCACCUGCCACCACGCCCAGCUAAUUUUUGCAUUUUUAGUAGAGACAGUGUUUCAC
rnacentral:lncRNA from 10 species